rnacentral:rRNA from 1 species
CCCUAUUAUACCAUAUUGAUAUAUUUUUGCUUGAGUAGUAAUCAGUUAUGUUCUUGAAACUUAAAGAAUUUGGCGGUAUUCAAGUCUUGUUAGAGGAACCUGAUCUGUUAACGAUAUGCCACGAAUUAUCUUACUCUCACUUGAUUUCAGUAUGUAUACCGCCAUUGGCAAAGCAAUGUUUAUAGACGUGUGCUAUAAAAAAUUAUUUUAGUAUAUUAGGUCUAGGUGCAGCUUAUGUGAGAGUUGAAUUGGGUUACAUUAUAUUAUAUAUGUUGGAUAAAGAUUUUAUAAUUCUUUUGAAAUUGGAUUUAAUUGUAUUUGUAUUUUAAUAAGUUAUAAUGAUAUUAGCUCUAGAAUAUGUACACAUCGCCC